GACAUGUUGUCAGGCUGCGUGGGGGGUUUGGACCCAAAUGCAGAGGCAAAAAUGCAAAAACUCCAAAUGAAGGGAACAAAAGACUUUACUGCACAAAAGGAACAAAAAGGAACAAAAAGCCUCACAGGGCAACUUCUAACAAACAAGGGAAACUACAAAACGCAGGAACAAGAAAAUCCAGAAAAAUACAAACACUAGGAAACCAGAACAUAGACAGGAACGCAUGGAGCAGGAACUUGAGGAGGGGAGCACAGAACAACCAGACAUAACCACAAGAAUCCUGCACCUGAGUCAAGGAAGAGGGAAACUUAAAUAGAACACACUGACGAGACACAGGAGGGCACCAUGAACAAUCAGGCCACAGAGAGGGAAGGGAAAACGAGACAACCAGCAAGCACUAAUAGGAAGACAAUUGAAAACAGUCAUACAAUUCACAUAGGGGGAGCAGGACACAAAACAGAAGUGCCGCCAUCUGGCGGCCCAACAGGGAAAACGCAGACAGGAAGACAGGACCAUGACACAUGUAUAUAAAAAGUAGAAGUAAAAAAAACACUUCAGUUAAAAAUAAUUACAUGAGGUAAAAAUAGACAAUCGUGAAUAAAUAGUCUUGAUGGUUUCAAAUAAUCCCACUAUCUUCAGGGUUGGUGGAUGUCACGUAGAGAGAUGUAUUCACAAAAAUACGUCCGUGUUGCUGCAGCGUAUCUCCUAAUAAGCCCAUGUUUCAAUGUGCCCCGUGGUCCAACGUGCCCCGCCCUCCCCUACAUUUCACUCAAAUACACAGAAAAACCAUGUCUUAAUGUACAGCUUGUCACUAAAAUGUAUUUUUAUCUCCUUUCCUGUUACAAUAAGAUCGUAAUUUGACGCAAGCCACUGUUCUAGUUUGCUCGUCCCACGGUUGUGUUAACUGUCAGAUAUGGUUUUGAGUGCUCACAUUUGCCACCUGGUCGUGGUUCACUUUUGGGAACAACAACUUGUUCCUGUGGAAAAACAAGAAAAUAUAUGCAAAUUAGCCUCUGCCGUGAAGAUCUCUUGCAGCAGGAGUGCCAAAUGAAACUCUAAACCACUGCACGCACCAGCAAAAAAGCUAUGGAGAUUUUAUACCUACCCAGCACACACACAACAUUCUGACAACGUUGUGAAAAGGUUGUCAGAAAGUUUAACUUGGUCUCUGCAAGGUUGUCACAAUAUUGUCACAAUUUUACGAGUAAAGUCGUCAUAAAGUAGUUUGACAACCAGCUAAGAACUUUCAAGGUUGCUAAAACAAAAACUUUCAAGGUUGCUAAAGUGGCUUGCUAGCUCUCAUGAUCAAGGCUUAAAUACUAACGGACGAUAAAGGUAACGGCUGUAUUUAUUUAUUUAUUUAUUUUUAUUUUUAUUUUUUUUAAAUACUUUUGUGGUUUUAUUUCUGUGCUGGCAAAUAUGUCAGAGGUUGCCCAGCGCUAGCUUUAGCUGUUAAGGGGAUGUGUAUGGACUCCCCAUAGAGAUUAAUGGAACUGGUCUUUACUUGCAUAUUGUAAAAGUGUCCUGUCCUGUGUGUUUGAUGUUAUCGAUAAUAUGAGAGCAGGUUCUCCCAAACAGCAUUUCUUGCAAUUCGUACGUGUUCACUGUUUUGUAACCCAAGGAAAAGACUUCAACAAAAAGAAGAAACAUCUUACUGUGGUGGGAAAAAAAUCCCCCAGAGCACAAGGUUUUACUCUAAAGCCAAGGACACAUUUUAAAGCUUGCAGGUAAGAUGUAGCUACUAAUUCAUCAUGUAGAUGUUUUUGUAUAACUAUGAAUUGUGCCAUAUGUUAACAGGAUGGUAAACAUUUUGAUAAAAUGAUAGACACCUUCUAAUUAAAUAGCAAUGUUAUUACUCUAUUGUAUGCUAUGCUGUUUUGGGAGGGUGAUUUCUUUGCCUAGCUAGUUAAUUUCCCUAAUAUUACACAGUAAAUUUAUUCAUUAUUUUAUUUUAUUUCACCCAAAAGAUUUGAGAGAGGGACUGGAAUAUGACUGUAGCCUAUAUAUGCAGCUUUUCAUGUGCUCAACUGUUGAUGCUUCUUGCACAAGGCAGUACAUUAAAUAUCAAUGAACGAAUCAAGACAAUUAAAUAUUUUGAAUAUUUUGGGGUCCAGAAAUCUUGAGGUAGAGCCCCAGAUUGAACCCCCAAUGGUGGAGCACCUGAUUGAACCCCAGAUGGUGGAGCCCCGGAUUGAACCCCAGAUGGAGACCACCCUUAACAUGGAGAAUGAUGGAAAGAAUGCCUGGAGGACAGACUUUAAAGGAGAGGAUAUCAAAUGGAGGGAGUUGAAGACUGGUGUGGCAUUUUCUCUGUGAGAAAAUAUUUGACAUCAAUGAAAAGAAGACUGAAUGAAGAAGGUUGAAUAUAGAGGUAUGUUAUUAUUCUUGUUUAUGAUUAAUUACAAUUGACUCUUACCUACGACAAGCUGUUUAUAAGCUGAUGGGCUGUUGCAUACAAUUCAUGUAGCAUUGUCUCAAAGUCAAUGAAAGCUUUACUUACAUUUUGGAUACAUUUAUUGAAAACAUUGAAAUGUGGAACAAAUACAAUAAAUUAGCCUGCAAUAUCUUAAUUAUUUUUCCUUAGCAUUACACCACCGAUUAUUGCAAAAUUAAUUAGCCAAUAAUUACUCCAAAUACUCUGCUCUGCUUGGAUGUGAUUAUUUCUCUAAUCUGAAAGUACAGUAUAUUUGAAUCCAAAAUCAAUAUUUAUUUCCCAUGUGAUUGGUUAUUGAUAAAAUUGCCUACACUAACUAGAGUUACCAGAGGGCCAGUUACAGGUCACAUAAAUAUACCUGCUGAGAUGCUGCACAUCCUGGCCCAUGUGGUUGAAGAACCCAUCCUAUAGGUAGUCCUCUCCUCACACGCCAUUGGCCUGGAAAUGGCUGAGUCAACUGAUGUUGCGAUGACCAAGCAACUGGACAUCCACCUCCAUGUUUCUAUUAAUAAUGAAUAAUUAGAAUCAGACAUUGUGUAAGGAUGGCAUGAUUAUUCUGAUGGAAUUUGUUUUAGGUACCCUGGCAAAGAAGGGUGGCUUUUUAACCAGCUUUUGGACAUCAUUGUUGAAGCUGUGUGAGAAGUGAUGGAAACAAAAGGCAACCAUGUGUUCGGUUUGGGAACUGACGGAAUUUCAGUGAUGAUGGGUAGUCUUCAUCCCAUUCAUUUGAAAAAAUAUGUUUUAAGUUUUAAAUAGAAUAUUAGAGAAAAAUGAAAAAUUCAUUGUAAGUAAUAUGUUAUUUAAAUCAUUAAGAGGGCAACAUAAUUUAAAGUAUUUAGAACGGGUUGGUGGAUUGGAGUUGCCAAGCAGCUGACCAACACAUGGCUUUGGCUAGUGUCUUGCAUUUGUAAACUGUGCUAUAUACAGCUAUUCACAGCAAUGCUCCAGGCAGUUGCUACUUCGAUUGUAGUGGACCACCUCAAAGUGACUGUAAGUCUACCUAUUUAAGGAAAAACACUUGUAAGAGCUCAACUUUAUUGCCUUGCUAUUUUUCAUUAGGAGGUGAAGGACACAAGAUUGCUUUCACAAAACCAAACAUCUCAAGCACAUCUGGCAGCACACGUAGAGGAGGCGGCCAUCAAGAAAGAUCCUGUGGCGUGGGGCCUGUACACAUUCUGUGCUACAUACAGAUUUGUUGCUGUGUUCCACCUCAAAGCAGAUAUUGUUUUCCGUCUCAGUCGCUUGUCCAAACUGUUUCAAAGAGAGGACGUCAACUUCCUGAUGAUCAAACAACAUUGCUCUUGAAUGGGUUUCUGAAGGAAUUUGCUAGACUUAAAAUUAACCUGCUCUGUUUUAAUAUAUUUUAUGUCCCUGUUACCAUUGAGACCAGAGGCAGGAGACCAGUAACCUCACACUUCUGUGAGGUCAACCAGAUGGUCAACAGCCUAAACAUCCAGGCGGAGGAGGAAAGGGGGAAGAGACAGAAUGUGAGAGAAGAGGACCCAGGCACAUUAUGGACAUGGUUCCAAAAUGAGGACAAGUCUCAGCUGGUGGUCAUGAAGCAGAUGAUCUCUGAGCAUGAUAACAACUCUGCCCCAACUUAAACCAGCUCUUACAGUUCCAGUAUCCAGCAUCAACUGUGAGAGGCACUUAUCUGCAAUGAACAGGAUUGACGGCACCCAUACGGCAAGACUGCACCUCCUUGUUUUAUUUUAGCCUUGUCUUUCUGAAAAAUAAUUGUCAAAUAAUUAACAAAUGUUACAUUUACUAUUUUAACAAUUGAACAAAUGUAAGCAGGU